GGGCCCGCACAAGCGGUGGAGUAUGUGGUUUAAUUCGAUGCAACGCGAAGAACCUUACCAGGGUUUGACAUCCUGCGAAUCUCUUGGAAACGAGAGAGUGCCUUCGGGAGCGCAGUGACAGGUGGUGCAUGGCUGUCGUCAGCUCGUGUCGUGAGAUGUUGGGUUAAGUCCCGCAACGAGCGCAACCCACGUCUUUAGUUGCCAGCAUUUAGUUGGGCACUCUAGAGAGACCGCCGGUGAUAAACCGGAGGAAGGUGUGGAUGACGUCAAGUCAUCAUGCCCCUUACAUCCUGGGCUACACACGUACUACAAUGCUACGGACAAAGGGCAGCAAGUUCGCGAGGACAAGCAAAUCCCAUAAACCGUGGCUCAGUUCAGAUCGUAGGCUGCAACUCGCCUGCAUG
rnacentral:rRNA from 1 species